UCUCUCUGAAUCUGCGUACGGCUCAUUAAAUCAGUUAUCAGUCUAUUUGAUAGUACCUUACUACUUGGAUAACCGUGGUAAUUCUAGAGCUAAUACAUGCUAAAAAGUCCGACUUCGGAAGGGUUGUAUUUAUUAGAUUAAAAACCAAUGCCCUCUGGGCUCCCUGGUGAUUCAUAAUAACUUCUCGAAUCGCAUGGCCUUGUGCCGGCGAUGGUUUAUUCGAAUUUCUGCCCUAUCAACUUUCGACUGCUGGGUAUUGGCCAGCCGUGGUGACAACGGGUAACGGAGGGUUAGGGCUCGACCCUGGAGAGUGGGCCUGAGAGAUUGUUAG
rnacentral:rRNA from 1 species